AAUCCAUAGGUUAAUGAGGCGAACCGGGGGAACUGAAACAUCUAAGUACCCCGAGGAAAAGAAAUCAACCGAGAUUCCCCCAGUAGCGGCGAGCGAACGGGGAGGAGCCCAGAGCCUGAAUCAGCAUGUGUGUUAGUGGAAGCGUCUGGAAAGGCGCGCGAUACAGGGUGACAGCCCCGUACACAAAAGCGCAUGUGCUGUGAGCUCGAUGAGUAGGGCGGGACACGUGGUAUCCUGUCUGAAUAUGGGGGGACCAUCCUCCAAGGCUAAAUACUCCUGACUGACCGAUAGUGAACCAGUACCGUGAGGGAAAGGCGAAAAGAACCCCGGCGAGGGGAGUGAAAAAGAACCUGAAACCGUGUACGUACAAGCAGUGGGAGCACAGGUUUACCUGUGUGACUGCGUACCUUUUGUAUAAUGGGUCAGCGACUUAUAUUCUGUAGCAAGGUUAACCGAAUAGGGGAGCCGGAGGGAAACCGAGUCUUAAUUGGGCGUUAAGUUGCAGGGUAUAGACCCGAAACCCGGUGAUCUAGCCAUGGGCAGGUUGAAGGUUGGGUAACACUAACUGG
rnacentral:rRNA from 1 species